ACCAAUGUGGUGUAGUGGUUUGAACACUGGACUACGACUCUGGGGACCAGGGUUUGAAUCCCUGCUCAGCCA
rnacentral:tRNA from 1 species